rnacentral:lncRNA from 1 species
AUGUCUUCAAAUUCUGACGAUAGAACUGGAACUUGUACUUCUAGCACAUUCUUUUUAGAAUUUUCCAUAUUCAUAUCCACAGCAUCCCUAUCACUCCUCUGAUUAUGGUUCUCUUCAAUUGCAAACAUUUUAGCAGCCUCCAUCGCAGCUCUCCUUAUCUCCACCGCAUCAUUUGACUCCGGCAACGUCAACCGCCAUGCAGAGUCAGCAAAAUUAAGACAAGCUGAUUUUCCUUUAAGAUAAGUGCAGCAACAUCAUGUGCACGUGCAGCCAUUUCAGGAGUUGGAUAUGUUCCAAGCCAAAUCCUUGACUUAUUAUUUUUGUUA